rnacentral:rRNA from 1 species
UACCUGGUUGAUCCUGCCAGUAAUCAUAUGCUUGUCUCAAAGAUUAAGCCAUGCAUGUCUAAGUACAUGCCGAAAUAAGGCGAAACCGCGAAUGGCUCAUUAAAUCAGUUAUGGUUCCUUAGAUCGUUUCUUCCUACUUGGAUAACUGUGGCAAUUCUAGAGCUAAUACAUGCAGUGAGCCUGAAGCCCUUUGGGCGACGGGUGCUUUUAUUAGACCAAGAUCGAUCGGGUUUCGGCCCGUAUUGUGUGGUGACUCUGGAUAACUUUGUGCUGAUCGCAUGGCCACGAGCCGGCGACGUUUCUUUCAAGUGUCUGCCUUAUCAACUUUCGAUGGUAGGUUACUUGCUUACCAUGGUUGUUACGGGUAACGGAGAAUCAGGGUUCGAUUCCGGAGAGGGAGCCUGAGAAACGGCUACCACAUCCAAGGAAGGCAGCAGGCGCGCAAAUUACCCACUCCCGGCACGGGGAGGUAGUGACGAAAAAUAACAAUACGGGACUCUUUUGAGGCCCCGUAAUUGAAAUGAGUACACUCUAAAUCCUUUAACGAGGAUCAAUUGGAGGGCAAGUCUGGUGCCAGCAGCCGCGGUAAUUCCAGCUCCAAUAGCGUAUACUAAAGCUGCUGCGGUUAAAAAGCUCGUAGUUGGAUCUCAGUUCCAGACGAGUAGUGCAUCUACCCGAUGCGACGGCUCGGACUGAACAUCAUGCCGGUCCUUUCUUGGUGCACUUCAUUGUGUGCCUCGAGAAGGCCGGUGCUUUUACUUUGAAAAAAUUAGAGUGCUCAACGCAGGCGAGUCGCCUGAAUAAACUUGCAUGGAAUAAUAGAACAAGACCUCGUUUCUGUUCUGUUGGUUUUUGGAAUACGAGGUAAUGAUUAAGAGGGACAGACGGGGGCAUUCGUAUUGCGGCGCUAGAGGUGAAAUUCUUGGACCGUCGCAAGACGAACUACUGCGAAAGCAUUUGCCAAGAAUGUUUUCUUUGAUCAAGAACGAAAGUCAGAGGUUCGAAGGCGAUCAGAUACCGCCCUAGUUCUGACCAUAAACGAUGCCAACCAGCGAUCCGCCUGAGUUACUCAAAUGACUCGGCGGGCAGCUUCCGGGAAACCAAAGUGUUUGGGUUCCGGGGGAAGUAUGGUUGCAAAGCUGAAACUUAAAGGAAUUGACGGAAGGGCACCACCAGGAGUGGAGCCUGCGGCUUAAUUUGACUCAACACGGGAAAACUUACCCGGCCCGGACACUGGGAGGAUUGACAGAUUGAGAGCUCUUUCUUGAUUCGGUGGAUGGUGGUGCAUGGCCGUUCUUAGUUGGUGGAGCGAUUUGUCUGGUUAAUUCCGAAAACGAACGAGACUCUAGCCUAUUAAAUAGGUGCGGGGUUCCCAGCACCUUACAACCUUCUUAGAGGGACAAGCGGCUCCUAGCCGCACGAAACAGAGCAAUAACAGGUCUGUGAUGCCCUUAGAUGUCCGGGGCCGCACGCGCGCUACACUGAAGGAAGCAGCGUGUCUUUAUCCCUGUCUGAAAGGACUGGGUAACCCGUGGAACUUCUUUCGUGAUUGGGAUAGGGGCUUGCAAUUGUUCCCCUUGAACGAGGAAUUCCCAGUAAGCGCGAGUCAUAAGCUCGCGUUGAUUACGUCCCUGCCCUUUGUACACACCGCCCGUCGCUACUACCGAUUGAAUGAUUUAGUGAGGUCUUCGGACCGAUGUCCGGCGCGGCCUUUCGGUUGCGCCGGUCUGUUGGAAAGAUGACCAAACUUGAUCAUUUAGAGGAAGUAAAAGUCGUAACAAGGUUUCCGUAGGUGAACCUGCGGAAGGAUCAUUA